UACGUAGGUGGCAAGCGUUGUCCGGAUUUAUUGGGCGUAAAGGGCGCGCAGGCGGUCCGUUAAGUCCGAGGUGAAAUCUCCCGGCUCAACUGGGAGGGUGCGCCGGAAACUGCCUGCUAGAGUGCGGAAGAGGAGAGUGGAAUUCCCGGUGUAGCGGUGAAAUGCGCAGAUAUCGGGAGGACACCUAUGGCGAAGGCAGCCUCGCUGGGACGUUACUGACGCUGAGACGCGAAAGCGUGGGAGCAACAGAUAGAUACCCGGAGAGUCCAGAUC
rnacentral:rRNA from 1 species